rnacentral:lncRNA from 1 species
AGGUGUCCGCACGCAUCUGCUCCCUGGCACCCUCUCGAGGAGCCCCUGAGGAUUCGUGCCUCCCAGAGGUGGGGAAAGCCCGCCCGAGGCUUCGGUGCUGACGGUGGCGGGGCUGCCGGGCACGCUGUGGAACCGCCUCCCGCUAGAGCUGUGGGCUGGUGACGGUCCCGCGGGGGCGGGAAGCGGCUCAGGCUGCCCUCCUGGCCUGCGGCAGUGCGUCUGGGAGCGCGGGCCACUCGUGCGCGGGUCACUCGGGGCUGUGCCUCGCGCGACUGUGUGUGCAGGAAACAAGCAGGAAAUACCCUAAAAUGGAAUGAAGCGCCAUGUUGAGGGCCGCGGACGUCGCGAGUGCUGUGGGAAUGUGGGCCAAGGUGGAGAGUUAUGGUGGCGCGUGUUACAGGGUCAGGAGUCAGGAAGAAGCCUAAUCAUGGAGCCGGCAUCUGAGGAGGGUCUUGAACGCUGGGCAGGCUUUUGCCCAAUAGAGAUGGAGGAAGCUAGUCCUGUCUGAUGGAGGAAACAGGGCAGAGGCGUGGAGGGAGACGCGCAGUGCUGGUGUGAGGAGCCGCGAGCAGGCCAGGCCUGUAAAUCAGCGUGAUGGGAACCAGGAUAGAGAAGGCAAGUCGGGGUCCUGUGGUCGCUGAAGAAUUUGAAUGAAAUCAGUAAACAGGUGAGAGGGAUCCAUCGCAAGAUCAUGGGAUGAAACAAGCAGUAGUCCACGGUGAUUCCUCUGCAGCGGUGGGUAUUAUUAAUCGCGUAUGUGACACCAAAACGGUGGGUAUUAUUGAUAGCGUAUGUGACACCAAAACCACCCAAUUUAAGCUGUGACUCUUUCCCUAAAGUAGAAAACAGAGAUCAGUUGGGUUCCAAGCAUCCACGAAGAUCUUAUUAAAUUCGUGAUCCCUGGUGGCACCAUGGAGUCAGGAUUGGCUCAUCUCAAACCUGACUCAGAAACAAAACCAUCUCAAUGGGCGGAGAUGAGCAUCCUUACCCGCUAUCAUAACGUAUUUUCUGGUGUUUUCACAGUGCUGCGCUUCCUAAUCACCAUUCUAGGGCAAUCCACAUGCCAUGAUGCCCAGAGGCAUUAACAAAGGAGACACACAGGGGCUCCUCACGUUGGCUUUCCAUGGUUUUGAUGAAAAUCUGUUUCCUCAUCUCAUACAAUGUGGUUCGUAAUAGUAUCAUUUAGGGUUGAAGAAUUAAAUGGUACAAAUUAUAUAGGGUGCUUAUGAUAACCUACAUGGAAAAUGCCUAGGAUAUGUUAGCUAUGCUCAUCACCAACAUCGUUAUAUGAUGGUAAUAAUCAGAUAGUCAGGAAGGCCGACACCAAGAAAAUGGAUACAUGCUCUGAGGGAAUGAAUGUGGAGAGAUCAGAAGGUCAAGAACAAAGCCGUACAACAUGUCUGCAGUAAAGGGAUAGAGAAAAGAAAGGCUAUAAAAGAAGGAAUGAAACAGUUAGAGUAAAAUUAUAAAAUCAAAGCUAAGGAGAAUUUCCAGAAAGGGUAAUAUCAUUUAAUAUCAUAGAAGUUUAGGAACACAAGAUGGAAAAAAGGCCUCUGGGUAACUGACAUUGAGGCAGUCUUUAGGGAAGCUCCAUUUCCGAUAGAGAAGUAGACACAAAGUCAGCUUGAAGCAGGGACUAGGUGAAGAAGCUGUUGGCUGGUCGCAUGGGGAAAUAAAUAAGGGAUGGCAUAUGCCAUAUUUCUGGAUUUCUUUCUUUCUUGCCCAGCCUCUAUAUAUGCAUAGAGUUUGGUGAAAACUUACAAAAAAUAAAAAUGAAACCAAUUUUGUUUGUUGACUCAAAUACAAUGCUUUGUGUUAGAAUCAAGAUAAAUUCAUGCCUCUCCCUUCUAUUGUCACCGUCAGUUUUGAAAUUAAACAUCAGCUUUUCUUCUUCAUUAAAAUCAUUUUCAACUCCUCCCAGGUGUUGGUGGUUUGGGGGAGUUACAUAAGCAGUCAGGUCUUGAUGAGUAGAGGAGGAGGGAACAAACACUUUCAGCAAAGGCAGAAUUCUGAAAUUCUGCUCGUAUUUUUCUCCAGUAACUUUCCUAUGUUUGUGAGGUUAUUCAGUCAUAAUGAUCCUAGUGAAAUUUUUUUCAAGCUUGACUAAUCGUAAUCACUGUGGACAUUUGUUUAAAAUGUGUAUUCCCAGGCCUCUCUCCUGCUGAUUCUGAUUCAGGAGAUCACGGAUGGGACUCAGAAUACAUGUGUUUGACAAAUACCACAAGUGGUUCUUAUGGUCAGGGAAAUUUGGGGCUCUAACCAGAAAUUCAUGUUUUUAUGACUGGCAGCUGGAAAAGAUUCCUAGAGUCUUUGCUUUUUGAAAAUAAAAUAUUUCUUUUUUAAAAGCAAAAUUGUAUGACUAGAUACAACAUUUAUACAUGUGGCACAUGUACUAUACUGUGUGCUUUUGUCAUAUUUACAGUUGAAGAUGUGUAAGAACACUCUGAGAAAAAUUAUCUAUUAAAUGCAAAGAGGGGUAAGUCAGGGUGGGGGAGAAAUGGGAAGGGUGUGCUUAUUGUUGCUAAAAGUUAGAAAAGCCAGAAUGAUAGCAUCUAAGGUUGCAAAUAGCACGUUGUAAGUUGAGGGAGCUUCAUAAUCAUGUCUGAAACCUUCUUUGAUAUACUGAGUUGUAAACAGUGGCUUUGGACAAGAUUUGAGGGAGAAACCAACUAUGCUUUAAAGUGUUCAUUUAAAAGGCUUUAAUUAAAGGAAAGUCUUUAUAUUUACUUGAGCUAAUUUAACUUCAGGACUUUAACAAAUUACUAGCCCUUAACCUCUUAAAAAUUGUCUUUCAUUUCAAAUGAAAGUUUAAGGUGGCUUUUAUGUUCGAUUGGUAUACUUAUGCGAAGACUUAACAGCAAGGUACUGUACAUUUCUAAAUGUUUACUUCUUAAUUUUGCUGGAAGAAAUAUACUACUCAAUUGAUUAUUUUUAAAGCAAAGUAAAACAAUUUAUUUUGACAAGCGACACUGUAUUUUCCCAGUUUUCUGGUGGCAAAGAUUAGGCUUAACAUCACUAAUCAUCAGAGAAAUGCAAAUCAAAACCAAAAGGAGAUACCAUCCUACACCAGUCAGAAUAGCUACUAUUAAAAAAUCAAAAAACAGCAGCUCUUGGGAGGCUGUGGAGAAAAGGGAACAUUUACACAUAAUUGGUGCGAAUGUAAAUUAGUUCAACCACUGUAGAAAGCGGUUUGGAAAUUUCUCAGAGAAUUUAAAAUAGAAAUUCCUUUCAAGCCAACAACUCCAUUACUGGUAUAUGACCCAAAGAAAGUCAGUUAUUCUACCAAAAGGAGAUAUGCACUUGCAUGUUCAUCGCAACACUAUUCACAAUAGCAAAGACAUGGAGUCAGCCUAGGUGCCCAUCAACAGUGGAUUGGAUCAAUAAAAUGUGGUGCAUCCACACAGUAUUAUUAGGCCAUUCUUGCAUUGCUAUGAAGAAAUACCUGAGACUGGGUAAUUUGUAAGGAAAAGAGAUUUAAUUGGCUCAUAGCUCUGCAGGCUGUACGGGAAGCAUGGUGACGGCAUCUGCCUGGCGCCUGUGGAGUCUCCAGGGAGCAUUUACUCAUGAUGGAAGGCCAAGAGGGAGUAGGUACAUCACAUGGCCAGAGCAGGAGCAAGAGAGAAUGGGAGUGGGGGUAAGUACCACACACCCUUACACAACCAGAUCUUGAAAGAAUUCACUAUCACAAGGACGCAUCAGGCCAUGAGAGAUCCACCCCCAUGACCCAAACACCUCCUACCAGGCCCCACCUCCAACACUGAGGAUUACAUUUCACCAUGAAAUUUAUAGGGGCCACCUUCCAAACCAUUUCACACACCAUGGAAUACUAUGCAGCCAUAAAAAUAACAAAAUCAUGUCCUUUGAAGCAACUUGGAUGCAGCUGAAGGCCAUUAUCCUAAGCAAAUUAAUGCAGGAAUACAAAAUGAAAUACCACAAGAUCUCACCUAUAAGUGGGAGCUAAACACUGGGUACUCAUGGACAUAAAGAUGGAAAGAAUAAACACCGGGACUACUAGAGGGGAGAAGGAGGAAGGCAAGGUUUGACAAACUAUUAGGUACUAUGCUCAUGUAUUAAUCUGUUCUCACACUGCUAUAUAGAACUACCUGAGGCUGGGUAAUUUAUAAAGAAAAGAGGUUUAACUGACUCACAGUUCCACAGGCUGUACAGGAAGCAUGGCUGGGAGGCUUCAGGAAACUUAUAAUCUUGGCAGAAGGUGAAGGGGGAAGCAAGGCACAUUCUACCAUGGUGGCAGGAGAGCAAGAGAGCCAGGGGGGAUGUGCCAUAUGUUUAAACCAUCAGAUCUCAUGAGAACUCACUUACCACCUAAGAACAGCAAGGGGGAAAUCUGCCCUCAUGAGCUAAUCACCUCCCACCAAGUCAUUCCCCCUACUUUGGGAAUUACAAUUCAACAUGAGAUUUUUAUGGUGACACAGAGUCAAACCAUACCAAAUCAGCAUCUGGAUGAUGGGAUCAUUCAUACCCCAAAAUUCAGCAAUAUGGGAUAUACCCAUGUAACAAACUGGCACAUGUACCCCUGAAUGUAAAAUACAAGUUAAAAUUAUUUUCAAAAUAAAUUAAUUAAUGAAUAAAUAAAUAUGAUUAAAUGAAAUUAAAAUUUUGAAUUAAAAAAUUUGAGAGUGAUUUCAGCUUGACAGUUAUGUAAGUUAUGUAAAUUGAAACAGUGAGUUCUGUAGGGUUUGGAUCAAUUGCAUUAUCUGUACUAAGUUGAUGACCAGUUGUUUGGAUGAAAAGAAAAGAGGUGAAACAUAUAGAUCUAACAGGAAAAAAAUGGACCAGUUUUUAUGAUAGCAAAAAGAAGAAUGGAGGAAAUAGGACUGAGGUUAUAGUGAUUGAUAGAUAUUAAUAGAUGACUAAGUCAAAAGCCAUUGGUUGCAGAAAAUAUUGAUUAAUUUUGUUUUAUUCCAGUCAGACAAAAAAAUCCUAUAACCUGCCUCUAGAGAAAACCCUUUUAGCCCUAUAAUUAUCUUUAUUCCAAGCACCAUUCCAUUCAUUAAGUAGUGUAUAGGGUGAUUAAUAAGUCAAUUAUUCACAGAAUUAAGACAAAAUUUUUGAGUAUUACAGGAUAUUAAUAGUAUAGCCAAUGAACUAAAAUAAAAUUUGACUAGAGGUGUGAUCACCAUGAAUGCCAUGUUGGUCUCUUGUUAGAUUUGGCAACCUAAAGUUGACAAAUUUAUUAAUAAAUAAACAUUCCUUGAUGAUUAAUUUACAUUUAGUAGACAUGCUCUUUCUUCUUCCUUCCCUUUCUUAUUCAUUCAUUCAUUCAUUCAUUCCUACAGAGCAGUGACUUUCAUUUGAAGAUUCCCAGAAUCCUAAGGAAUUCUUGAAUGUCAUCAUAGGGAGCCAGGUGUGAGGAUUCCUAAAAGUUGUACUUAAUACUUGAAAAAUCUCGAAAAGUUAUAUAUUUACACCAGAAAAAUCUAUACAGGUUUUAAGUUAUAUGUAUAUAGUUGAAUACUUUUUAUUUCUAUCCAGUACUAAGUCAUUAGAGUUAAUAAUGUUGAUUAUUUCAUACUGACCUAAUGGGUAGCCUUUAUAUAUCAUUGAUUACUUAUUAGUAAAAUAAACCCCCCCCCAAAAUUACAAAAUAAAUAUAUUUUGUGGGUUUUUCUUAAGGCUUUUGAAACAUAAAAUCAGACGAGAGGAUUAAAAGUAAUCCUUGAUUAUUAGAAAAGCAAGGAACUACUAACUUAGAAAAUUGUAUGAAAACAGCAAGAUAUAUACAUGGCCUUCAGGCCAGCUGCCUGUUUUAAUAAAGUUUUAUUGGAGCACAUCCAUGGAUCUAUGGUGCUUUCCUGCUACAAUGGUAGAGUUGAAUGGUUGCUAUAGAGAACGUAUGGUUUGCAAAGCCUAAAAUAUUUUUCAUCUGGUCCUUUAUAGCAAAAGUGAACCCAGUUUUAGAACAUUCACUUUACAAAUUAAGAUACAGUGGAUGUUGCCUUAACUGACCUCCACUUAACUGAUUUACAAUCAGCACUUUCUUGUACCCCUGUACAACUUAUUGACUGAUGUCCACUGCAAAUGGAAAGCCUUUGAGCUGCUUUUAAUGCCUGUACAUUUCUCCUUCCAUCACAGAAAUUGUACAGUUUCUAAGAGGAAGCUGUGUUCAUUCCUAAAUAUGUUUACGCCAUUUGUUCUUGUUCUUGUAGUUAUGCAAUUUAAUUAAAUAUGAUGUUGAGAGGCUGAGACGGGCGGAUCACUAGGUCAGGAGAUCGAGACCAUCCUGGCUAACUCGGUGAAACCCCGUCUCUACUGAAAAUACAAAAAAAAUAGCUGUGCGUGGUGGCGGGUGCCUGUACUCCCAGCUACUGGGGAGGCUGAGGCAGGAGAAUGGCAAGAACCCGGGAGGUGGAGCUUGCAGUGAGCAGACAUCGCACUACUGCACUCCAGCCUGGGUGACAGAGCGAGACUCCGUCUCAAAAUAAAUAAAUAAAUAAAUAAAUAUUACGUAAACUGAGAAAAUGAGUAUAACAAGAGUAGUAUUGUUGUUUCUCUGAUAAAUAAACUAAAUAUGUUGGAAAAAUGAGAAACUCAACAGUUGCUGUCAGCUUAACUGUUGGCAAGACAACUAGAAACAAAUGGGAAAAAUUGUGUAAUCUAGGAUUUCAGAUUGCUUUACCCCAGUUGUCUUCACAGAAAGUGAACAAGAAAUCAAUGACAACAUAUCAUUGGCAUAGUUUCCACAAGAAACUCCACUCUGAAUCCGUGCAAGGGUUUGACCUUGUCAUCAAAAUUCUGGCAAAUUUAUUUACACAUGUCUUUUAAAUUAAAGUUAAGUUUUAAGGACUUACAUCUAAUACUUCUUAUGAUUCCUCCAGCUAACUUAAAUUUGUGAUUAAUCUGUUUAUUACUGGUCCCAAUCUGAUUGAAUAAGGGGGUUUCUACCGUUUUUGCUAACCAAAAGUUUACUUUGAUGAAGAUGGAAUUAUAAAUACAAUAAUUCAAGUUUAAAUAAUUAGAAUGGUAAUGGGUAAUACAAUUUAGUAUGCCUAAAAAUCACUUGAAAAGCUUACUAACAAUGUAAAUUCUCGUGCCUUAGGCCUGAGAUUUUGAUUCAAUAGGUCUAGCAUGGGGCAUAGGAAUCUGUAUUUUUAGGAAUGAUAAAGGAAAAUUGCUUAAAAUAGGGUAAAUUAUAACUUACAAAUAUAAAAUGAACACUUGUCUAGGAUUUUCGUUUAAUGAAGGAGCCAGUAAGAUGUUAUACUGAGUUUUACGGAAAAUUAAAAGAGCCACACAUAUCUAGGCACUAAGGAACACUGAAAUAAAUUUGCUUGAUAGGUUCAAAACUGAAUUCUUGAUGGAAGGUGGGAAAAGGAAAAUUAAUUAUACUUCCACCAAAAUCAAUCAUUUGCCUGUCUAUAAACAUGAAUAUUUGCAUUACUAUCAGUAAUCUACAACUAACAGAAUUGCAAAUAACAAAGAAAACAAAAGGCACAGAGACCCCAUAGAAACAGAUAACUCAGGUUAUUCUAGACAAGGCUGAGAUUUCCAUUAAAGACACUCAGUGGUAAUUUCGUUGGUCCAUCUUAAAAUCUUUCCAUUUUCUCCUGAAACAAAUUGCUCAAGCAAUUCAAAUACAAUGAAUGUGGUCAGUGGGUCACACCUGGAAAAAUCAUUUUCUAACCUGUAAUCAAGACUGAAUUACUCCCUUCACUGGAAAGAAUAAAAUAUUACCACAUAAAUUCAUAUUAUGAUAAUGGCCCACUAUGAAUGCUUUGGUGUUCUUAAUUUUCUUAAGAUUUAUUAAUAUUUCUGAAGUAACUACUAAAUGCCAAGCAAUAUAUUUUCUAAUUUAAUCUUUCAUUGACUUUUACUUUCACUUCAAUUGAGCUACUCACUUUCAUGGCUAUAAACUUAACUUUUCAAUCACUUAAAAAUUGAUUUCUAAUGUUAUAAACUUUAAUGUCCCACUCUGUGACCUGCUCUUUCAGACUCUCUCUUCCUUACUGCCAAUUCACCUUCUCUUCUAUCUCUUCCAGUGCCUCAGUAUCUUGACUCUUCCAUUUUCUUUUUUCUUUGCUUUUAUUAAGUGGAUACAUGAUAAUUUCACAUGUUGAUGGGGUACAAUGUGGUAUUUUGAUACAUGAUGCAUUGUUAAAACCUCUCCUCCCUAUCUUUCCCAGUCU